UACCCAAAAUUUUAUCUAUUUAUAUUGUUAAAAAAUGACGUGGUUGUUUAAAUAACUAGAUAGUGACACGUGACGUGACACGUGUACCUCAUAUUGAUGUAUAGAGACAAAUUUUUAAUGGCAGAAAUGGAUGAAAUUUUUAAUA
rfam:Gossypium raimondii Chr03_contig_485, whole genome shotgun sequence.